rnacentral:lncRNA from 1 species
GUUGAGUUUGAUUUGGAUUAAAGAAGGUUAAACCUCUCAUAUGUCAAGGCCAACCACAAGACAUUAACUCAUUGGCCAAAAUAAAAAGAAAUGAGAUGAAGAUGAAAUGAAGUGGAAAGAUAAUUAAGCAUCAAGCACAAUUGGUCAAAUGUGAGUCAAAUCAACAUCAACCAAUAUAAAACAGAAGAGAAAUGAAGAUUAG